UACGGAGGGGCUAGCGUUGUUCGGAAUCACUGGGCGUAAAGCGCGUGUAGGCGGCCGGGCAAGUCGGAUGUGAAAUCCCGAGGCUCAACCUCGGAACUGCAUUCGAAACUGCUCGGCUCGAGUCCCGGAGAGGAUGGCGGAAUUCCCGGUGUAGUGGUGGAAUGCGUAGAUAUCGGGAGGAACACCAGUGGCGAAGGCGGUUGCCUGGAGCUUGCUGACGCUGAUGCGCGAAAGCGUGGGGAGC
rnacentral:rRNA from 1 species